UGGUUUGCGUGUGUUGCCCUUUUAAGACGUUGCCCCUUUAAGACAUUGCCGCUUUAAGACUCGUUGCCCGUUUAAUUGAUGACGCAAAGUGUUCCUGUGAAGAAGAAAUGCGAGCUGAUCCAAGUUGGAGUGUUAUAUGUGUGCGUGCAUCCUAUAAAGUGAGUUAAUUCUUGUCAUUAUACACUUAGGAGAAAGUUCAUAUUGUAAUCUUGUGUAUAAGUGUUGUUUGUUGAAGCUAUUGAAACUAAAUUCGAGUGUUCUAUGGUGCCUCUCUAACGAUCGUUACAUGCAUGAUCAUAUUCAUAUCUGCCGUCGAAUUAUGCGAUCGUUGAUCAUCAUACUGCUGUCAUAUUUUAUGUUGAAAUAGAUUGUUUUCUUUAUUUAAUAUGUUGGUAGUAAAUUGCAAGUAUAGGGUUGAGUUGAUGGCGAUUAUAGUUAAAUGGCCUAUUCUGAUGCUAAUAUUGCUAAUCGUGGCACUAUUGUAUUUAACUCUUAUUGCAAGUUAUAUUCCGCACAGAUUGUAUCAUUGUUUAUUGUAUUGGAUUGUUAGAUAAUUGGAUCUGAAGUCUGUAUUUACUUAUUGUUAUUUCUCUUUGUACAGACCACACACAAACAUACUCCAGUAAAGAUAUGGAAAGAAAUAACAGUGGUUGACUGAGUUCCUGGGUUCUGAUAGGCCCAUCCAGGGCGAGUGUUGCUUAUCCUUCAGUCCUUAAGAGAUAAAGUCAAAUUACCAAUUCCAAAUCCAACAAAUGGUCCUUCGAGCCGGAGACACUUCCCUGGAUUGAGAUGUCAGCCAGUUCUACACCAGUAAACCCAUCGGUUCGUCCAAAGCGCCGUCCAGCCUAUUUACAAGAUUAUGAGGUGGAUUUCCCACGUUUUCAUAGAUCAGCUUUACCAGUGAGUAUAAGAGAAGCAGCAGUGGAGUCGUCUGAUGAUGAUGAUUACUCUCCAUCACGUAUUUGAGUAUCUACAGCGAAACCUCAAAGAGCCCAGUUUACCGGCUUUUCUGGCCCUCCGAGGCUGACUGAGCAUCAUGACCUCCCAAACCCUCUACAGCAGCGAAUUUCUACCUCUUCUCGCCAGUCAUUACCACAAUAUCUGAAUCGACAGCUACAGUUUGAAUCCAAUGCAGAGUCCCUUCCACAUGGUGAUGGAUACCAGAGUGAUCAGUCAACUGCUAGCUCUAUAAAGUUGCAAAGGAUCUCAGAGGAGAAUGCUAGACUCCAUGAAACACAGCAGGCCAUUAAAGCUGACCUUGAACGAUUUGAGACGGCCAAAGAUGAGUUGAUUGAGCUUUUAAACAGAGCUUGUAGUCUCCAAAGGCCCUUAUCUACUCCUAAGACCCAGUCUAAUCGUCCAUCAGUUAAAUUUCACCAUGCCGAGCAUUUGAGUGAUGAAGACUGGCCAGAGCCUCCUCCACCAAUCACGUAUGAAGAGCCCGAAGCUAUGAAUAAGCACAACAAGCAAAGGCUUUACAGCAGUACAAGGGCAAUACCAACUUUCAGUUCCCGACUCACUUCAAUGGAGAAGUCUAUGGAUUUUCACCAUCCAAGUCAGUAUGAUGAGCAUCUGAGGUAUGGUCAAUACCCUCCCCAAACGACAAGUCCUCAGUAUGUUUAUGACCACCCAUGGGAAUCAUUCACACGUCCAAAUUCUGAACAUCACAGAAUGGCAUCCUAUAAUAUGGCACCUUCCAUGGCAUCUAUGGAGCUGACUGAGAAAUAUUACAAAGGACCAUGCCCCACCAUUCCAUUCUUCCGCAACAAAGAUCCAAGUGAGUUUGCUCGAUUAAAAAUGGCCUUAGACAACCUCUUGCCACCUGACAGUACUGAAAUGUUCAAAUAUCAAGUCCUGGUUGACCAUCUGAAAUUGGACGAUGCAUGUCUAAUAGCAGACUCCUUCUUGCACUCCCCUACACCUUACAGAGACACCAUGAUGGCCCUCAAUGAACGGUUCGGUCAGCCCCACCAGGUAGCAUUAAAAAGGAUUGCUACUAUUCUUGAUUCUCCUGAUAUAAGCCGCAAUGACCCCUCAGCCUUUGAAAAGUUCUCCCUUCAAGUGCAGUCUUUAGUUGGUCUUCUAAAGACAUUGGGCCAGGCGGGUAGCAUUGAGUUGCAGUGUGGGUCGCAUGUUGCACGCCUCCUCAGUAAGCUGCCACCUGAAAGACGGGCUGAUUUUCGCCGCCACAUGUUACACCGGCCUGGGGUGACAUACUCAUUGAUGGAUCUGGCCGACUGGCUAAAAUAUGAAUCUUGGUGCCAAAGCUAUGAUGAUCAGUCAGCAAGAGGAGAAAGCCGACCCAAACGAGAGUCUCGGGUAGCUCCAUGGUCACGCCGAACCACUGCCACUGUUCUGACUGGGUCUGGGAACAGUGCUGAGGUAGCAAAUGCUACAUAUUCUUCUGAUAAGGCUGAUGAGAAAGCUAAGAGUAGGCCCUCAGUAUAUUGUUCUUACUGUCAGAGCUCUGAUCAUGCAUUCAGUCAAUGCCCCAAAAUUCCAAACCUCACCAGAGAUCAGCUCUCAGAGUGGAUACGUGCCAAUAGGAGAUGCUGGCGUUGUGGCCUUGCUCAUCAGGCUAUCCACUGUGGUCUAAAGAAACCAUGUCCGCUUUGUCAGAGAAAGCAUCUGCGAAUCCUCCAUGAGGUAAACGAGAGGCCUGUCAUAAAGGUAUCCAAAACAGAGGCUUGCCUAGUCAGCUCAGCGACACAAAUGUUGUACCUGAACAAACCAGUCAGCAGUAAUAAGGUUUUACUCAAAAUUGUCAGAGUGUUCUUACACCAUGGCAACUGCACACUGGACACAUUCGCAAUCCUUGAUGAUGGUUCUGAGCGUACGAUGCUCCUGCCAGAGGCAGCACAGAAGCUUGGCUUAAGAGGGACACAAGAAAGCUUAGCUCUGAGAACCAUCCGUCAUGAUGUGCAAACCCUUGAUGGAGCUUCAGUCUCAUUCUCCAUUUCUCCAUACUCCAAUCCGAAGAAGCGAUAUCUCAUAUCCAGAGCCUUUACUGCCCCACAGCUUGACCUCGUUGAUCAUUCUUACCCCAUUCCAAAGCUGCAGAAGCAAUACAAACACUUGGUUGGACUACCACUGCAGUGUUUUGAAAAGGCGAAACCUCUUGUCCUUGUUGGUGCAGAUCAAACACACAUAAUCUCACCAAUUGAGCCAGUAAGACUUGGUCCACCUGGGGGUCCAGCUGCAAUAAGAACCAAAUUAGGAUGGACACUCCAGGGCCCUACCAGCCUGUUGGAGCAGAAACUUGAGCCAAAACAGUGUCUCCACAUAUCCAUUCCUCUCAGCACUACAGAACUGUUCAAGAAUGUUGAAAAGCUGUGGCAAGUUGAUGUUUUGCCAUUUCAGAAGGAAAGAGAGUACACAAGAUCCAAGCAGGACCAAAGGGCCAUUGAGUUACUGGAAAGCAAGACAGUUCGUGUAGAGGUGGAUGGAAUACGUCGCUAUGCAACACCCUUGUUGCGUAAGUGUGACAUGCCAUAUCUUCAUGCUACUAUGGAAGCUGUCAUGCCACGUCUACGAAGUACUGAGAGGAAACUUGCCAAAAACCCGCCACAAGCUGAAGCUUAUUCCUUAGAGAUCCAGAAAUUGGUUCAGUCCGGAGCCAUCAGAAAGCUCCUUCCAGAAGAAAUGGAAAGUGAUGGUGAAUCCUGGUUCAUCCCACACCAUAUGGUGUGCCACAAUGGGAAAAAUCGUGUGGUGUUUGAUUGCUCCUUUCAGUUCAGUGGCCUCAGUUUAAAUGAUUCACUCCUCGCUGGCCCCACCUUGGGUUCAUCACUUCUUGGGGUCUUGCUCAGAUUCCGUGAACAUGCAGUGGCCAUCAGUGCAGACAUCCGGGGCAUGUUUCAUCAGGUCCGCCUUCUUCCAGAAGAUAGACCACUUCUUCGGUUUGUCUGGCGUGACUCAAAGGAAAAAGGUCCACCUGAUGUCUUUGAAUGGCAGGUUCUGCCAUUUGGCACAACAUGCAGCCCCUGUUGUGCUACGUUCGCUUUACAACAGCACGUGAGAGAACAUAGCCAACCUAACGAAGAUGUGAGGUUCUCAAUCGAACGGUGCUUUUACGUUGACAAUUGCUUGCAGAGUUUGUCAUCACCAGAGGAGGCUAAGCAAUUAGUUGACAAGUUGAGGGAUCUGUUAGCUGAAGGAGGCUUCGAGUUGAGACAAUGGGCCAGCAAUGUGCCAUCUGUCAUUCACCAUCUUCCACGUGAAGCCAGAUCGGAUGGUCUGGAACUCUGGCUAGCUCAUGAAAGGACAGAUGUCCAGGAGUCCACGUUGGGUCUUAGCUGGAAUUGCCCUGUAGAUGUACUGACUUACCGUCACCGUCCCAUAAACCAUGGCGCUCCCACAAUGAGGAUUAUUUAUAAAGUUUUAGCAAGUCAGUACGACCCCUUGGGAUAUAUCCUUCCAUUUACUACCAGGGCUAAAGUUCUGGUCCAACAACUUUGGAGCAAGCAGCACAGCUGGGAUGACACCCAACUUCCCCAGACUUUAGUCCAGAGCUGGAACGAAUGGGAAGGUGAACUUCAGUUUCUUCACAAGAUCAGUUUCCCAAGGGCAUAUGUACCAACUUCAGUAGAUCAGACCAGAUCUGUUACAGACCUUCAUGUGUUUAGUGAUGCCUCAGAGAGUUCAUAUGGAGCAGUCACUUACCUGCGCACCGAAGAUCAGCUUGGUAAGAUCCAUUUGUCAUUCAUACUGGCACGUUCUAGGGUAGCGCCAAAAAGAGUCCUGUCAAUGCCUCGUUUGGAGCUCUGUGCUGCUGUAAUCGGUGCUCAGUUGGCAAACCUGUUGGAGAAAGAGUUAACUUUGCCACUUCGCCACACAGUCCUUUGGACAGACUCCACCACUGUGCUGUCCUGGAUUCAAUCAGAGUCCUGCCAUUUUAAAGUCUUCGUUGGGACAAGAGUGGCAGAAAUCCACGAGCUCACCAACUUCACUGCCUGGCGAUAUGUGAAUUCAAGUCAGAAUCCUGCAGAUGACCUCACAAGGGGAAAGACUCUGAAAGAACUUGCCAAGCCUAACAGAUGGAGCCAAGGGCCCCCAUUCCUGCUCCUUCCACCUGAAAGCUGGCCCACAAACCCUACAGAGCGCCCUGAGAUUGACAAAUCUGAGCUUAAGAAAUCUGCAUUCUGUGGAGUCGUAGCUGUAGAGGAACCAACUGGAAAUAAGUACAGGACAUGGGCAGAAUUAGUAAAGGCUACUGCACAGGAGCUACAUGGGGCGGCUGGACAGUCAGGAGAACCUACAGCAAGCAUGUAUCAAGCAGCAGAGACAUGCAUCCUCCAGAAGGUGCAAAAUGAGAGUUUUCCGGAGGAAUUACAACGACUGAAAGCAGGCAAGGCUCUUCAACAUAAUAGCCGCUUACUCACCCUAGCUGCAGAGUAUGACCCGUUUACCAAUCUAAUACGGGUUGGUGGUAGGCUAAGACGUGCUGAAACAUUAGAUCCUGCCCUUAAACAUCCCAUUGUCUUAGAAUCUAGACAUCCAGCUGUGAAGUUACUCCUCCAGGAUUAUGAUGAAAGACUCUGUCAUCCAGGCCCUGAUCGGGUAUUUGCAGAAAUAAGACGACAAUUCUGGGUCCUAAGAGGAAGAGCAGCUAUCCGCAGCUUACAACAUGCCUGUAUAAAAUGCCAACGUCUGAGAGCCAAACCUACAAUUCCCAAAAUGGCAGACCUUCCUUUAGCACGCUUGCGUCUCCACAAGCCAGCCUUUCAUUCAACUGGGAUGGAUUGCUUUGGUCCCUUUCUUGUAAAGAUUGGUCGACGAGUAGAAAAGAGGUGGGGAAUCCUCUACAAAUGUCUUACCACCCGGGCUGUACACAUAGACCUUCUGUACAGUUUGGACACUGAUUCCUUUCUGAUGUCACUUCGGAGGUUUAUUGCACGUAGAGGCUCCCCAGUAGAAUUACUGUCAGACCAAGGAACAAAUUUCCGAGGUGGGGAAAGGGAACUCUGGGAAGCAUUUCAGAGUAUGUCACCUGAGCUUCAGCAAAGACUUGCACCAUUGAAGAUUGCAUUCCAUUUCAAUCCUCCUGCAGCACCACACUUUGGGGGAGUUUGGGAGAGGGAGAUAAAAUCCAUUAAAUUGGCACUAUCUGCGACCAUUGGAGCACAAACUGUCUCAGAAGAAGUACUCAGGACUGUGUUAGUUGAAGUGGAGAACAUCCUUAAUUCAAAACCCCUUGGGUAUGUAUCUUCUAAUGUGGCUGAUCCUGAUCCGGUAACGCCCAACCUUCUUCUCAUGGGGCGGCUAGAUAACUCCCUGCCUGCGGUCAUAUACCCUAAAGAAGAAGGCUUAAGUCGUCGUCGGUGGAGGCACUCCCAGGUGCUUGCUGACCACUUCUGGUCCUCCUUUAUCCGCCAUUACCUUCCGAACCUGCAGGUCAGACAGAAAUGGCACCGCACCUACCCUAAUAUAACCAUGGGCACGAUAGUCAUGAUAGUGGAUCCUCAACAGUCCAGAGCACAUUGGCCUAUUGGAAGAGUUGUUCAAGUGCACCCCAGCCAAGACUCGCAAGUGAGAUCAGUGGACAUACAAGUUCAAGGGAAGGUUUAUACUAGACCCGUGGCUCGACUGGUGGCAUUACCCCCCAUCCCAGAAGAUAUGGAAGAGCCCGACACACCCCCUGCAGCAUUGGUAACUAACACGCAACCAUCUUGAAUGUCAAAUUGAACACAAUUUGGGGGCGGCUGUACAAACUGGUUUGCGUGUGUUGCCCUUUUAAGACGUUGCCCCUUUAAGACAUUGCCGCUUUAAGACUCGUUGCCCGUUUAAUUGAUGACGCAAAGUGUUCCUGUGAAGAAGAAAUGCGAGCUGAUCCAAGUUGGAGUGUUAUAUGUGUGCGUGCAUCCUAUAAAACCACACACAAACAUACUCCAGUAAAGAUAUGGAAAGAAAUAACAGUGGUUGACUGAGUUCCUGGGUUCUGAUAGGCCCAUCCAGGGCGAGUGUUGCUUAUCCUUCAGUCCUUAAGAGAUAAAGUCAAAUUACCAAUUCCAAA